AACGCGAAGAACCUUACCAGGCCUUGACAUGCAGAGAACUUUCCAGAGAUGGAUUGGUGCCUUCGGUAACUCUGAGACAGGUGCUGCAUGGCUGUCGUCAGCUCGUGUCGCGAGAUGUUGGGUUAAGUCCCGCAACGAGCGCAACCCUUGUCAUUAGUUGCUACAUUUAGUUGGGCACUCUAAUGAGACUGCCGGUGACAAACCGGAGGAAGGUGGGGAUGACGCCAAGUCCUCAUGGCCCUUAUAGGUGGGGCUACACACGUCAUACAAUGGCUGGUACAGAGAGUUGCCAACCCGCGAGGGGGAGCUAACCCCAUAAAGCCAGUCGUAGUCCGGAUCGCAGUCUGCAACUCGACUGCGUGAAGUCGGAAUCGCUAGUAAUCGUGAAUCAGAAUGUCACGGUGAAUACGUUCCCGGGCCUUGUACACACCG
rnacentral:rRNA from 1 species